rnacentral:lncRNA from 1 species
AAGAAACCUACCUUGGAAAAAGCAAGAUGAAUGUUUUCACUUCUUUUUUUCUCUUCCUCAAGAUCUUGACAAUCUAUCAUAUUUAUAUUUAAACCUGUUCUCCAGUAAUAGAAAUUCUGCCUUCAGAUGCUACCUUUUUGGUAAGUGGUUAAUUUCUUAAAUUAUUUUUUUCAGUUUUAUAUACCUCUCCUUCCU